UCGCCAACUUCAUAGACGAUAUCAUCAGUCACACGUUCUCUUUCCUCACAUACCAAUGAAUCAAAAAUAUUCGAAUUGCUGAGCUCUGAAAGGGCAAAUUUAAGAUUUUUUUCUUCGUGUAGAAUGCGUUCAUGAAUUAACAACUCUUCUGUGUUUAAAAAAAUUAGAAACUUUGAAGCCAUUGCUCUCGCUCUACCUCGAGAUUGGACAUACUGGGUGACAGUCCGACAAAUAUUGAAGCGUAUAACUAAGUUACAUGAUGGUACAUCGAUACCUUCUUCUGCAACUGCAGUAGCAAUUAAAACAUUAUAUUUUCCAGUCUUAAACUUAUGAAGGGUAUCUUUUUGCCUCCUGAAUGUCAUAGAAAAUUCACCCUGAUCGGACGGUCCAUGUCCUAUAAAAGAAUGAGCGCGGAUGUUAGGCAGAUUAAGAGUUUUCAUAAACAAACUUAAAGUAAACGCCGUAGCUUUUCUUUCAACGAAAAUAACCGUACGAACGCUAUCACUUUUGCGGUAAGUAGCCUUUAACAAUUCUAAGAGUUUAAAGACUUUAUCAGUAACAUCAGUGGAAUCAAAAACAGGGAUUCUAGGGCCAUUGUCUGAAUAUUUGUUAUUUUUCCAAUCUUCAACAAAUAUUUUUAACCGGUCAAUUGCCAGUUCCUCGUCAUCUGACAACUGCUUCCCUAAAGCCUUUUUUUUUAAUCUUUUCGUUUCCACAAAAUCAACCAAAUAUAACCAAACUUGCUCCCCAAACCAAAGACCCAUAUCUAUGGUUUCUGCUAAAGCAGUCUUAACAGCCCGAGAAAUUAACUUGCAUCCUUGAAGAGUUUCCUCGCAUUUCUUGAUAAUAGAAUCCGAGGGUGGCACAACCAACUUAUUGGAAUACAUUACAUAGCUUUCUUCGGGAAGACAGAAGUAAUCGGCUAGCUCGUUUUCCGAAACCACGUGUGCUUUAGAAUCAAAUAAUUGCUCCCAUUGAUACAGUCGAUGGUAUAAGUUUCCUUUUUUUCCAGUGAAUGGUGAAGCAGUCAUACCAAAAAUUCUUGGUAGGGUGAAAUGUUUUUUUGACAAUACUGCUUUGGCUCUGUGAUAAAAAUCAUUCAUGAUGCGAGCAUACGCAUCAUUUCCAAUUGCAUGAUGACAUUCGUCGAAUAUAAUUAAAUUCAAAUCAUUUAUUGAAAGAAAACCUCUUGCAAGAAACAAAUAGAACAAAUCUGCAGUAAUAACAAUCACAUUAUACUUCAAUAUAAUAUUAGUCAACAACUGCUCGCUCAUUUCUAUAGAUAAUUCGCCAUAAAACAUGCCAACCUUAGCCGGUAGUUGAGAUCGAAUGUAUUCCGCUUGUUGAAAUACCAAAGGGACUUUGUUGACGAGAAAAACUGAUAUUUUUUUAUGU